rnacentral:rRNA from 1 species
AUUGAACGCUGGCGGCAGGCUUAACACAUGCAAGUCGAGCGGGGGAAGGUAGCUUGCUACUGGACCUAGCGGCGGACGGGUGAGUAAUGCUUAGGAAUCUGCCUAUUAGUGGGGGACAACAUCUCGAAAGGGAUGCUAAUACCGCAUACGUCCUACGGGAGAAAGCAGGGGAUCUUCGGACCUUGCGCUAAUAGAUGAGCCUAAGUCGGAUUAGCUAGUUGGUGGGGUAAAGGCUUACCAAGGCGACGAUCUGUAGCGGGUCUGAGAGGAUGAUCCGCCACACUGGGACUGAGACAAGGCCCAGACUCCUACGGGAGGCAGCAGUGGGGAAUAUUAGACAAUGGUGGGAACCCUGAUCCAGCCAUGCCGCGUGUGUGAAGAAGGCCUUAUGGUUGUAAAGCACUUUAAGCGAGGAGGAGGCUACUCUAGUUAAUACCUAGGGAUAGUGGACGUUACUCGCAGAAUAAGCACCGGCUAACGCUGUGCCAGCCGCCGUAACAC